GACAGAGGGGGCAAGCGUUGCUCGGAAUUACUGGGCGUAAAGGGCGCGUAGGCGGGAUGGUAAGUCGGUCGUGAAAUCCCUCGGCUCAACCGAGGAACGUCGAUCGAUACUACCGUUCUUGAGGAUUGCAGAGGAGACUGGAAUUCCCGGUGUAGCGGUGAAAUGGUGUAGAGAGUCGGGAGGAACGCCGGUGGCGAAGGCGGGUCUCUGGGCAAAUUCCUGGACG
rnacentral:rRNA from 1 species